rnacentral:lncRNA from 1 species
CAAAGAAUAUGGUCUUUUCAAUGCGACUGGAAUUGUUAAUGAAUUGAGAAUUGUUGAUGGUGAAUUAAUGCAUUACAGAAAUCGUGUCACUUUCAGGAAGCAAAUAAUAUAAAAGGUCAAUUGGUUUGGAUUGGAUUGCCAUCAAUAGGUCAGUCCUGUGCUAUUGAAUUGCCUUGUUCUUUAAAAAACUCAAUGAUAUGUCUAGCUAGUUGCCCUCAAAUACAGGCAAAGCUGCACGGCAAAUGGUGAUCAACUUUGAGAAUAUUGACACUGCAUCUCUCAGUUCCAUUAAUUUAUCACCAAAUACAAGACUUCUGCAAAAAUGAAAAGCAUUGACAUAUUCUACCACACUGUAACUGCAUGUUGAUUACCACAUACUACAAUAAUGCUCAGUGAAACCAAAACAUUAUUACUUUAUAUUUUUAGACAUUUGUUAUUCUUUGCAUGAGCACAAAUGGAUAUUAAUAUUGUGACUUAAACCAGAGAUGGAUGAUCCAUUUGGAUGAACUUGAAGAUGAUCUCUCUGUGCAAUCCGGUCUCUGAAACACAUGGGAAUAUUACGUACAUCUGAAUGCCUUUGAAACCGUGUUUGAAAAGUAUUGUCCUCUGGAUAUGAAGAUAUUACAAUGGUGGGUAACAGUGUGACAUACACUGUGAUUAUAAAUGAUAAUAUGAUGGACACACAUAAAUUAAUUCAUUAACAGAUCGAACUCAAUUGGAUAUGAUAAACUGGUAAAAAUGUCCAUAUAAAACUGACUUACUGUAGCCAGAUUAAUCUGUAUUUGAACUUUGAGACCAUAGUUGAUUGACCAGCAUUCUAGCUUGGACCUUACUGGAUUAACCUGCAUAAUCUUCUAAUGGAUUAAACUGUGUAAUAACUGGUUUUUACAAGAUUAAUCUUCAUUAUAAAACAUUCUUGGAUGUAUGAACUUGCAUCAUGAGCUGCUGGCCUUCAACUACUGAAUGAACCUGUAUGGAAGCAAGACUGUACUGGAUUUGCAUAUAAACUGAAAGGAUUUUAACCUGGGACUUAGAGAUACAGCUACUUAAUAAUAUUACGUGGUGAAGAUCUGAAGAUAAUGAAGAAGACAACGACUUAUAUAAAUCAAAACUGCUGAUUGGAGUUUACCAUGGUGUUUAUCAACUGGACUAAAAUGAAUUUGGACAUUAAGUACUGUAAGUAUAAACAGGGAAUGAAACUGCUUAUAAAAAGUGCUAAAAUGAAAAUUCAGCAACAUUUUUGGAUAGGUUGGGGUCUGCUAGUAUUUCUAACACAAAAUUAUUCUGAAAAGCAAAUUUUCGGGUGCAUCACGCCUGUUUUUUAAAAUUACUUUAAAAAUGGCUUGUGCAGAAAAGGGUAUAUUUCAAAUGCAAUUUGAAUGCAUAGGGUGCAAAUUAAGAAUUGUGCAUGGGUUUUGUAGAUGGAAAUUCUAAAUGUGAAUUGUAUACAUUUGUGUGUAUGCACAUAAAAUUGUCUUGUUGCAUCCUAUGAAUUCAAAUUCUGUUUUAUGUUAAGCCAUUUUUAAAAUUGUUUCAAUUACUUUUCAGAAUAAUUUAAUGAUAGAGAUACAAAUUUUGCACAAUUACUGUAGUUUCUUUAGUUCUUCUUAAAGUUGUUAACAGUUAACAAGCCCACUUACAUGCACCUGCUUUGCAUGCUACAACCACAUGGGGCAUCUGCUUAGUAUAUUGCAUCGAAUUACAAAAGUUUUGAUAUUCAAAUUUAUUCAAAUAAACAUUUUGGAUAUUUCCAUUUUGCUUUUUAAAAGAAGAGAAUGGUUAACUAUUCACAGUUGUUAUGGGUAUGAAUACAGUAUUAUAGUAAAUUCCAUCUCUAAAUAUUUCUGUACAAAAUGCAUUUGUCCUAUAGGCUCUGUCAGGAUUAUCAAUCAUUACCCCAGAUAUGACCAACAUAAAAUCAGAAUAAUUUACUCAAACAUAUAUUUAUCUAGAUACACAUCCCAAGAAUAUGGUCUUUGUUUUCAAUGAACGAGAAUUGCCACUGGAAGACAGUUGAUGCUUAAUGCAUUAUAUUCAAAAAGCAAGAUAAUACAGUGUGAAAGGUCAAUUGGAUUGAAAUAUACAGUCAUCAAUAGGUUAGUGCUGUGUUAUUGAAUUGCUUUGUUCUUUAAUACACUCCUUCUCAACGCUCUGUCUAUUUGCCUUCAAAUACAGGCAAAGUGACACAGCAAGUGGUGGUCAAAUUUGAGCAUUUUGACACUGCAUCUCUCAGUUCCAUUAAUUUACCACUUCUACAUCAAUUGAAAAGAAUUGACAUUCUACCACUCUCGUAACUGCAUGGUGAUGUUGAUUACCACAUACUACACAAUAAUGCUCAGUAAAACCACAACAUUAUUACUUUAUAUUUUUAAACAUUUGUUAUUCCUUGUUAGCACACAUGGAUAUUAAUAUUGUGAUUUAAACCAGAGAUGGAUGAUCCAUUUGGACGAACUUGAAGAUGAUCUCUCUGUGCAAUCCGGUCUCUCAAUCACAUGGGAAUAUUACACACAUCUGAAUGCCUUUGAAACCGUGUUCAAUAGAGUAUUGUCAUCAUCGAUAAUGGAUAUGAAGAUAUUGCAAUGGUGGUUAGCUGUGAAAUACACUGAGAUUAUAAAUGAAAUAUGGACACACAUAAGAACUCAAUUGGAUAUUAUAAACUGGUAAAAAUUUCCAUAUAAAACUGACUUACUGUAGCUUGAUUAAUAUGUAUAUGAACUUGGAGACAGUAGUCGUUUGGACAGCAUUCUUGCUUGGACCUUACUGGAUUAGCCUGCAUAAUCUUCUAAUGGAUUAAACUGUGUGAUAACUGGUCUUUAUGAGAUUAACCUGCAUCAUGAAACAUUCUUGGCUGCAUGAACUUGCAUCAUAACUGCUGGCCUUUAAGUACUGAAUGAACCUGUAUAGCAAGGAAGAUUUUACUGGAUUUGCAUAUGAACUGAAUUUAACCUGGGACUGGAGAUACAGCUGCUUAGUAUCAUGCAGUGAAGAUCCAUUAUGAUAGGGCGAUGAAGAGGACAACUUAAAUAAAUCAAAACUUCUGAUUGGAGUUUCCCACAAUGUCAAUGUAUCAAUCCGACUAACCUGAAUUUGGCCAUUAAGUACUGUAAGUAUAAACAUGGAAAUUAAACUGCUUAUUAUAUAUCUGCUUAUAUAUUGGGACAAUUGACCAAGCCAACAGUAGAUAAGUGGGUCGGAAUAUUUUAAAGAAGAACCAAAAUAAGAAGUUGUAAACUUCUGAUAUUGAACUACUGCAAUGGCUUUGUAGGUUGCAUCGGUCUCAAAAUCACAAAUUCAAAUCUGAAUACUUAUUUAUAGUAUAUGAUUACAAAUCCAAUUCUAACCUACAUGUAUUUUGUUCACAAUUAGUUAUUUCCUAUAUUGCUCAUGUGAGGAUCACCCCAAAUAUCACCCAGACAUAAAAUCAAAAUAAUUUUCUCAAACAUUUCCCUAGGUAGACAUUCAGACUUGGAAGAACUGUCAUUUGCUUUAAAUGAACAAACAUCGAUGAUCAAGGGUUGUUCUUAAACAAUAAGUACAAAUAGGGAA